rnacentral:rRNA from 1 species
UACGAAGGGGGCUAGCGUUGUUCGGAAUUACUGGGCGUAAAGCGCACGUAGGCGGAUAUUUAAGUCAGGGGUGAAAUCCCGGGGCUCAACCCCGGAACUGCCUUUGAUACUGGGUAUCUAGAGUCCAGAAGAGGUGAGUGGAAUUCCGAGUGUAGAGGUGAAAUUCGUAGAUAUUCGGAGGAACACCAGUGGCGAAGGCGGCUCACUGGACCACAACUGACGCUGAGGCGCGAAAGCUAGGGGAGCAAACAGG